GUAUGAUGAACCCUUUAGAUGACGAGUCUGAAUCGAGGUUUUUCUCACUGAAGACAAAAUCUAAAAAUAUACCAUUCAUGCAUUUCUGACU
rnacentral:snoRNA from 1 species